GAAAAAGCGCCUUCAUACAACAUGCCUCGCUGCCCUCUUCCCCGACGGCCUUUUCCUCGCCGCUUGCACGCCCCCUGCUGUCUGCGGCACCGUCGUUUGCCCACGCCCCAGCGAAUCCACUCUCCGCGUCAUUCGCGAAUGCAUCCACCGAUUCUAUCAGGAAAUCCAAACCCUCGAUCGCCAUGGCCAGAUUUGGGAGAAGAGAGACUCGCAUUCGUAUAUUUCCCGGUCGAGGAGUGGCUCUCUCCGCGGCGGACGUCCAGACCGUGUACCCGAUCCUCUCCAAUGUUUUGAGCCUCGAUGAGUCCGCCCUCGCCCAGAUCGAGAACCGCCCGGAAUUCUGCUCCUGCUUUCUUGAGAUCGUCACGGCGAGGGAUUCGGGUCGCCGGGAUGAUGUUCGCCUCCUGGCCUCCGUGUAUUUCUAGAACAGUAUCGGUCGCCCCUGGAGGCCUCGCCGUGAUAUCCUGACAGCUGUCCCACUCGAAGCAUGGAACUUUCCAUGGUUUGACUGCUGUAUUUUGUAAAGGGUGUAGCUUGUUGACUUUUCGUCCCACAUUGCUCUGGAUCCAUCCGACUUUACUGACCUUUCGAAAAUAACAAUCACUGGAAGUACUUCAAACUCGCAGCCGGAUGUCCAUCUCGAAUGAAUGAAUGUUCAACUCCGGUUCAUUUGGCUGAAGGGAAUGUGUCCCUGAGAAGCAGGUGAAGCUGCAAUGGCUGUGCAAACUUGAAAUGCUUUCUCAUCAACAGUACCAUAUACUACGGUUCGUCCUCGAAUCAUAUGACCCAACCACAAAAUGAAAAGCCCGCAAAUGUCGUCUUCGGUUAUUCUUAGUUUGGGGUUGCGGCAGCUGUCACUUACUUGGCACAGGGGCAUAACUAUGAAAAAGCUGGCCGUCGCCUUCGUCUUUCCCAUGCACCGUACUCCGCCAUAAUUUUGUAGCCAUCUUUGGGUGGCCGCAGCGUGACUGAGGUAAAGAGAAGGCGUCAUGUGGGCCAUCUGCAACCACAUAUCUUUAGAGGCGAGGGAGAGUAAGUCCCGACCCCACAUAAUCCAUACUGCAUGAGCUUGGCCGAAAGCUGAGGAAGAAGACAGGCCACCUCAGCUCUCUCUCUCUCUCUCUCUCUGACUCGAGUAAUGACCACAGACACAAUCAUGCAUAAAGUGAGAUGAGAAUGUACUCAAGUUUUAUUCGGAGCACCGAGAGAGGGGCAGUGGAGCAUCCCC